rnacentral:rRNA from 1 species
CCUACGGGCGGCAGCAGUAGGGAAUCUUUCACAAUGGGCGAAAGCCUGAUGGAGCAACGCCGCGUGCAGGAUGAAGGCCUUCGGGUUGUAAACUGCUUUUAUAAGCGAGAAAUAUGAUGGUAACUUAUGAAUAAGGAUCGGCUAACUACGUGCCAGCAGCCGCGGUCAUACGUAGGAUCCGAGCAUUAUCCGGAGUGACUGGGUGUAAAGAGUUGCGUAGGUGGCAUAAUAAGUAGCUAGUGAAAUCUGGUGGCUCAACCAUUCAGACUAUUAGCUAAACUGUUAAGCUCGAGACCGUUAGAGGUAACUGGAAUUUCUAGUGUAGGAGUGAAAUCCGUAGAUAUUAGAAGGAACACCAAUAGCGUAGGCAGGUUGCUGGGACGGUUCUGACACUAAGGCACGAAAGCGUAGGGAGCAAACAGGAUUAGAUACCCGAGUAGUC